GCAUAAACUGCAGCUGCCCACGUGGGAACUGUUUAAGGCGCGACAGUCGCGGGCCCUUUAAAUUCGCCCUGUCGCCUGGUGGGGGGGCGUUAUGAGCUCAACUCAUCAAUCAGACCGGGCCAAGAAACUUUCCCUCCUUUUGUUUACACACAUUCAGAUGUCCCAGGAUUCUACACUGCAGGGAAAGAGAGCAAUGGACCACAUCUGCUGGAAUGAGGGAUGCCACCGCUGCUGGGUCGAGUCAUGUCCUUUGGAACGCAAAGGAUUCUGGACAGCUGGAAGGGGAACUGUGAGCUGUAUGAAGAGUACUGGUGUAGCGGAAGAGACCCCUCCCUCCCCCUCUCCCUUCCGGGGGCUCGACCGGUUGCUGCACAUCACCGCUAGAGGACGCACGCAUUGCGGAGUCUCCGAGACAAUGGAUCUACCCAGGAUCGUCGAAUGGCACCAUAAGAGAUAUAAGUAUUCCACGCUGAUGAAUAUGCGCGUUUAAGCACGGCUCGCGUGUUCUUCUAAAUUGACGCCGCACGCCAGGUAUUCGUUCCGCCGUAGCUGGGCUCCACUGGAACCGUUAUUGAUCUGCAAGGAGAUGAGAGCUCUUUGUGCUGCAGGCCUCUUCUUGUCCCAUCUUGCUGGAGUGGAGUUCAAUACCCACACAGCAGCUCCAGCCCCCCAGUGCCACAGCUGAUUGAAUUAUUGUCCUCUCCUGUGUGGACAGUAAGCUCGCUAUUUGUCGGAGCCGCAGACCGUGAAUGCCGCCUUGUGACCAAGUGCGGGGGGCACCACGCUUUCCAGAAACGCAGGUUUUCAAGGGUUAAAGGGGAAGGCAUUCCAUCCUCGUCGACCCCCCCACCCCCGCCUCCUCCCUCCAGGUGGGGGUGGGGGUUGAGGGGGGUGUGCUACAAUACAUCUGUAAGAUGUUGAAGAAGCAACUCCUGGACUCCAGUUAAUUAACCACAUCAGUUUCUUAAUGUGAUCAAUUUUAAUUAAACUGAAUUUUAAUUGGGAUCGGAGGUCUGCGGAGAGCGCUUGCUAAUUCCGCCGAACGCAUGUGCCGUCGAAGCGGCCGCUUUUCACUUCACAUUUGCCAGGGCCUAAUUAAUAUGGAUAGGGCAUUAAGCCUUUUGGACUCUGGUGGCUUCCAUUUCAUGACUAUUAAUGAUUUUAAUGAACUGGACUAAUUCAGUACUUUUCAGCCGUGGUCCUUUAAAGUGCUGUGCCGUGCUUAUUUAGUUUUGUAAUGGGCAUCGAGAUCUGAGUGGGCGAGACUGGUCAUCUGCUUCAGCCAAGACUGCCGCUUUGCUGGGCAUCGGAGACUGAAAUGGAAAUGUUUUUUGUUCGAUGUUAAAAAAAUAAUUCACUGUGAAAUGUCCUUGUCUCGUUUGUCCUCGUCUCUACACCGGAUGCGCACGUCCCAAAUUCUGCCAUUCCACGGUGUUAUCUUUUUUCAAAAACACGGGGCGGCUUCUACGAGCACUCAGAAGCUCAUCCCUUGUGAGGAGGUUCUUCAGAGUGGGCUGAUCGUGGAUUCAUGAGUUCCCGGUGGUGGUGUUUGAUCACAUCCCCUCUUAAUCUUAUAUGAUAGAGAGCAUGUGUAAAAUGUGUGCUCAUUGAGAGCUCUGAGUAGCAGCCGUGACAAGACGAAUUCAGACUGAAAAGCGUCGUGCUGCCCCUCGCAUCUAAGUAGCGCGCAGGGAUAAAUACUGAGAAGCAGCCGUUACUAAGAUCUGUGUCACGACAGGCCGAGAGAACCGGGACGGAAAGACCCGAGCGCGGAGUCGUCCGUCCGGAGUCAGAGGAUCAGGCAAGUUCUCGGUAUCGGGGACAGGCGGAGGGUCGGUCGAUCGGCGGUCGGGGUCGGAGCGGGAAUCCACGGGCGAGGUCCGGAGACGGAGCGAAGAGUCGGUCGAGCCGCGAUCGGAGUUGAAACGAAGAUCCGUGGACGUGGUCGAGAAACAAAGCUGGGGUCAAAACCGGAGAACGUGAACUGAAAAGUGGAGAUGCGUAUGAGCGGGGAGUCACAAGGAAGGGCGGUUGUCUCUGACGAGAUUCCGCAAAGGUGUGGGAGCUGAGGAGGGUCUUUUAAAGGGUGAGCGGUUAAUCGGGUGCUGGAGCAGAGUCAGGUGUUGUCGGUUGGGUUGUUGGCGUGGACGUGACAAUCUGCAAAGGAAGCGAGAACUUGGAGGCUUCCUCUAAAAACGUAGCCGGAAGAAACGCAUGAAUCUCUUUUAAUGUUCCUGGAAACAGGUUGUAUACCUCUGCUGAGAAACGUAACGUUUACAGUGUUUCUUUAUGUUUGAGACACGUAGGAAUGUAAAUGAGGAUCGAGAGCUAAUACGAUUUUUUUUUCGUGUUUGUUUGUGCUCUGCGAUGCGACCUCGCAGACCCUGCCGCAGAGCUCGUCGAAAGCAACCAAACACCCUGCAGGAUAAAAAGGUAAUUUACGCUCCUAUAGCUGUGCGCUCUGGCGUGCCAGUUGAGGUACGGGCGGAAGACUAAAGAAGUACAGGUGAGUUUACUAUAACACGGUAAAAGCCACAAAAAUGCCAUCAACUCACAUUUUAUGCCCCUUUUCUUUGUUAAAAUGCAAUUCACAGCUUUAAAGAGAUAGCAACUUCCGCUGAUCAUCCACGGUUUAUUAUUUAACAAUUUUAUAGUGCGUGAUUGAACGUCAUCUGACGCUUGUGUCAGUGUGAGGGUGUGACAGGGGGUCAGGCCUCCUAGAAUGAUCACUUUGCAGUGUUGAGCUUCAGCUUCACCCUCUGCUACCAGUCCCAGCACCGGAGCCCACCAGAGCAGGGCAUCUUCACUCCCACGCAAGAUCCAGCGCUGAUGUUGCGAAAAAGUUACACCGGCACAGAAGUGAGGGCAGCGCAGGCAUAACAAUGGCCAUCAGGAGCAGUCGAGAAGAUGCUCGAUGACAAAACGCAAAGAAUAAAAUCUACGUGUCUGUGACGCUGCCUGCA
rnacentral:lncRNA from 1 species